GUGACCCAGCAGAGGUCAGGGGACGGUCAGCUUUCCUCCAUGGAGAGAAACGCCUGAGAAAUCAACUUAAAAUGAGGAAAGGUUCGUUUUAACUCCCAGUCUGGGAGGCUCUGGCUGUGGUCAGCCGGGCCUGCUGCUUUGGGCCGUGGUGAGGCAGCGCGUCCUGGUAGGGGCAGGGCAGAGGAGGCCCGUCCCCCGGGGGUGGGACCCGGGCUCGCACCUGCUGGGCAAGCGCUCUGUGGCUGGGCUGGGGAGGGAGUUGAAGGCACCCAGGAGGGCCAGAGGCACUGCUGCCCGGCUCCACACGGCCACCACCGUGGUCCAGCCAAGGGUAGAGGGAGGGUCUCUCUUCCAGGCCAGCGCCGUGUACACCGACUGGACCAAGGACCCUGUCCGGCUCACAGGCCCGGCCUCAUUGGCCAGGCCUAGGACACAACCAUGGUACUGGACAUUGCCAUGACUGGCACCUCCAUCAAACCCACGGGGGAAUCAGGCCACACUCUCACUAGUAAAAUUUGCCCCAUCUACGGUAAUAAAGAAACGGCGACCCAGAGAAGGUGAGCAAUUUUCCUAGGACACACAGCCAGUUGCUGUGGCAGGGGUCGAUCCCAAGGUCUUCCUACGUCCAGGCUUCCUUCCCCCAGGGUGACCGGGUUCACUGCUGGAACCACAAAAUUGUCCCUGUGCUUCACCUUCACGUGGUGAGGCUGCCACGGUGACAAUGACGUUCUGAACCAGGUCAGCGGAGGACUGUUCUCCGUUCGGAGGAGGCCUUCUGUCCCGGGUAAUGCCAUCAGUCCUAAUGAACGGGCCCAGCGAGGCACAGGGGGGGCGCAGACGGGUGGGGGUGGGAACAGGUGUCCCCGCAGCCCCAAGAGCUGUCCAGGGCAGAAGGAAAGUCCCCCGCAGAGCCAGCAAGGUCUGGGGUCUCCCUCAAGUGUCCCGAUGGCCAGGGGAGUUUGGAUGUGACGGGUUUUCACAGAGCCCCACAAACGGGAGAGGGGAGGGGAGGUGGGAGCCCCUGGGGAGGGACGCAGGGACUUGUCCCCACCUGGAUGGCGUCACAGCAAAGAUCCUGUGGCUCCUGCACCAGCCGCUCACCGAGCCACCACCCAGAAGCCUCUGUGGGCGCCAAACUCCUCUCCACCCCCACAGCUGAGGCCUCAAGCCCGGCCCUGCCCACGCCCACUCCCCCAGCCUCAGGGGGCCUCCUGCCUGGUUCACAAGGCCAGUCGCAGAGGAGGGAGCUGGCCCUGGGGCAGCCGGACCCUAGGAUCUGUCUCUGACGCUUGGAGUGGACGCUGGUGAUUGGGCCACCCCAGGGGCCACGCCUGGGGCUCAGGAUCAUACCCUCGGGUAUGGAGGGGCUGGGGUUCAGAAGUCCAGAUCUGGAAUGACCCACCAAGGCUCGGCCCCAGCCUGGGCCUCUUGGAGGGGCCGAGGGCGGGAUCUUUAAGAGGUGGUGCCUAGUGGGGGGUUUCAGGCCACUGUGCGGGGAACCUGGAAGGGCACUGUGGGACCCCAGGCUCCUCUUCUGUUUUUCGUUACUGGCCACGACUUGCAGGGCUCUGCUCGAACCCGUGCUCUUGCCUUGACGUGCUGCCACAGGCCCAAAGCAAGGGGGCUGCUGGCCAUGGAGUGGAACCUCUAGAGCUGUGAGCCCAGGGGCACGUUUUUUUCUUCACAGGUUGAUUGUGUCAGGCCUUUGUUACGGUAACGGGAUGGCGGCCAAGAUACAGGUGUGCUCAAGGCUCAGGGGCCUCGUGGGUGUGGGCCCGAGGUGCAGGGUGCAGGAGGCCAGCGCCAUACCUGGAUUCCCACAGUAAUUAGAGCCACUUAGGAUGAAGCCCGGAUCAGAGCCAGGGCUCAUCUAAUCCUGCCUUAGGAGGGGGUCCCGAGGAGGGCUG
rnacentral:lncRNA from 1 species